GUUCCCUUUGCCAAAACCACAGCCGCCUAACCAUUGGCUGGAUUGUUCCAUCAAUCAAAUCUCAGGAAAUAGCUACCCACUUGAACAAGAGAGGAUGAAGUAAAUACAACCAAAAUGAUCUAUUUGAAGGUGGAGCGGGAGUAAGACCACUUGAAAGCAGCAUGCUGCCAGACCACCACAGGACCCCAGAUAUUGAAUUUGAAUUGCCCAUUUAUAUCAAUGACGCUAACCAAAUGGUUGGUUUGUUCAGAAACAUGUGCACUAAAUGCUAACACGGCUUUGGUGAUGCAAGGUAAAUAAUGUAUUUAUUGUCAUCUCCCUGUCAGGCCUCAGCCUGCUGUGACAAGGGCCCGGAUGGUGACAUAUGCUUCAAGCUGCCUGACUGAAUACAGGGGCCUUCAGCGGCACCUUCCCUUUGAUUACAGCAGUCUCUUUAUUAAGUCUCAUAGCCAUUUAACAUGUACUUUAUGUAACCACUCAAAUUCUUAAACGUAUACAAAUACAUGAACAGACUUAUAUUCACUUGCCUCUGGCUGCGUUUACAGGCAGUCCAAUUCUGAUAUUUUUUCCACUAAUUGGUCUUUUGACCAAUCCCAGAUCUUUUCACAUUGGUUCAUUUUUCAGAGCUGAUUGAUCAAAAGACCAAUUGGUGGGAGAAAAAAGUGUCAGACUUGGGCUGCCUGUCUAAACACAGCCUAUUUGUCCUAUUCUUCUAACUUGUCUGGGAUAUAUAUAUUUUAGUUGGCACACCUGUGUGAUAUCUUUUAAUAAUAAUAAUAAUAUAUGCCAUUUAGCAGACGCUUUUAUCCAAAGCGACUUACAGUCAUGUGUGCAUACAUUCUUCGUAUGGGUGGUCCCGGGAAUCGAACCCACUACCCUGGCGUUACAAGCGCCAUGCUCUACCAACUGAGCUACAGAAGGACACCCAUUAUAUAUGAAUACUUUUUUCACCCUGGAUAUGAGACUUGCAUUGAUUUUUAGAUCUCUUUGAAUCAGAAGUGCAGUCUUGAUGGAUAAAGUCUGCAUGUUGUCAGAUGUUUAAGUAGUAGAGAGAGUUGACAUUGACGAUUGAGGAGAAGGGUGCCUUCCAAUCACACAAAUUAUGCGUAAAAGACGGGGGGGGGGCUAGACUUGUGUUGGGCUGUCCGUCAGAAAAGUUCCAAAGACUAUCCAUCGACCAAUUACAAACGUAAAACAGCAUUUUACCCCACCAAACAGAUAAGCGUUUCAUGUAUUUAGGUUUGAAGGUAGCCUUACUCUGUGGUUCAAGUUGUAUCUUCAUGUCUGUAACUUCACUCUCACUCUGUCUGACCCCUAAGCCCUCAUGCCUGACCUCCCAUUGGCCCAGGGCCUCUGGCAAAACCCUCUAAUCAGUCUCUCUGACAGGGAGUUACUCCAGGAGUUGACAGGUUUAUGGUGCAUAAGGUAUCUAUGUGUAUGCAUGCAUGCAUGACUUACAUGGAGUGCUCCAUGUUCCUGCUGGUUGCAGGGAAAUGGCAUGCCUUGGAGUAUGGUUGUAUCCAUCUCCACCAGGCUCCUGGAAAUCAUAUGACAAACCUGCAUAGAUUAACCAAAUAAAAUGGCAACUGUAUUUAUGCAGUUGAAGUCAUGACAGCCAUAGGUUCUUUACACAGGAGUGUACAGGUUUUUGUUCCAGCACUUCACUAACACCCCAUUCAACUAAUUGUGGUCUAAAUUGAACAAACACUUGUACACAGUUCAGUCACCUGGCCCAGAAAUCACCCAUGUCUGUAUUAAUGAAUGAGCUUCCCAAGUUACAAGUUUAGCUACAAUUCUGCAUGAUAUAAAUAGAUCCACCCAGGUUAUUCUCUAUCUAACCAUGUGAAUAAACCCCCUAAAUAAGAUGAUUAUCCUGGUGGUUAGAGGAGGUUCCCAAGUUCUUGACAUCCGUCUGGGUGUUAGGGAUGUGCUUCAACCUGAGGAAAAUGGCAGAGAGGGGGAAGACAUUAACCCCAAUGCUUACAUUUCAGUGCUGGUUCAAGUUGCUGAGAACCACAUGUACCUUAAGUUUUUCAGUCACCAAAUAAUCAAUGAACAAGCAGUGAGGUAGUUUGACAAGUGUUCAAAGUCAGUAACAAGUCUUUAAAAUAUAGCUAGCAUGUUGGCAAGUACCUGGCCAGUAAUCUUCACCUGUCGAUGGCAACAGCUUUCACAGGCUCAUCAUACUGUAAAAAUAACCCAAUUAUGAAACAUUUUAUUUAAACUGACAUUAUUUGUUGCAUAUAAUGUCUAGGACAUAACCUAGCCUGGUGGAUCCAGCCUGAUCUUCUUUACCAUUCUAUUUCACUUCACAUUUGAUAUCUGAAGUGAAGUAGAAAGGUGAACGAAGCGAUCCGGUUGGUUCCACCAGGACCAGGCUAUUUAGAACCACCAUUGAGAAUGUAAUCAGUGCUCUGUGUGUGUGUGUGACCCACCAGUACCUUUGAGGGGCCAGGAGCUGCUCUAUGCUGCUAUGCCCAUCAAUUGAGCUGUAGAAAAGACCUCACCUCCAGCCUCACCUUUUGCCUGCUCACCAACAGUUGUCAAUAGGGAGAACAGAAUUAGAAACAUGUAUGGAGGCAGCACAUGGAGACUUGCAAGAUGAUGUGAAGUCCCGACUGACAGGCGGGCUUGAUACUGAGGUCUCCGAAUGGAGAAAGACCUGGCACUCGGCAGUAACAUUUUACAAGACAACUUUGACCAUUUAAUUCAAUAAAAAAUAAAGGAUCAGACUAGAUGUGGAGGGAGAAUCCCUGUGUAUUCUGCACCAGGAUCCAGGAACUGCUGUUGUGAACAGGACACCACACAGGAAUGAUUAUAUAUUAUAAUAUUAUGUGAAGUGUUGUUUAUUCUACAUGGACCUGUGACUACAUGUGAAAGUUAGCAAAACACUUAGUUCAGAAUAUAUACAUAAAUUUAGCAAUUACAUUAAUCUCAUGUUACUCUUCAUGCUGCUGAUCUAUUCAAAGCUUCUCUAUAUCUGCCUGUAGUUAGAGCUCAACCCUGCAGGAGGUUUGUUUGUUGUAACUGAGUGGGGGGAAACAGUUGUGGGCAAGGUUCUGACAGAUGGGUGUGUUUUGGUGGUGGCAAGGACAAACAAACACCCGCAUCAAACCACACCCCAAGCCAACUCAGGUUUGGCUUCUGUCAUGGCCACCAGCAUUUCUUGAGGAACAAGCCAAAAAACAAGGCCAAAUCAGCAGGUGCAAUUCUCCUUUAAAAUCAUCACACAAUCUCAGUGCAUACAGUUGAUUUUAUUAAAACACUAUGUAUAAAAAAAUACAUGUAAAAAAUGUCUACCAAUCGAUUGUCAAAAGAACAGACGACUCUCGGUCAACUAACUUUUCUUUCUUUUUUGUCGGGGACAGCCCUAAACUUUAUAAACUGCAAUCAUUUUCUUAUUACAAUUGUCUUGGGGGAAAAAAUGAAGUACGGUAGUUAAAUGGAAGUAAUAUACAUCAUAUAGCCUACACAAUAUGUAACAUACUUUUUAGGCUUAAAUAUGCCUUAUAUAUCACAAUGUCUGGAUGCAAUAAUCUACCCAAGAAUAUUCAACACUGAAAUCUGUCUCGUCAUUCCAAAUGCAUCUGUGGAUCUUUUCUGCGGACAAUAUUGAAAAUGUAU